AGGAUGCUUGGGUUCUGUCCCCAGCCCAGGGAGGAGGGGCGCAUCUAGUGGAUUGAGUUGUGGGGGUUGGCUGGGAGCCAGGAUGCCUGGGUUCUGCCCCCAGCCCGGGGAGGAGGGGCGCAUCUAGCAGGUUGAGUUGGGGGGGUCGGCUGGGAGCCAGGAUGCCUGGGUUCUGUCCCCAGCCCAGGGAGGAGGGGCGCAUCUAGUGGAUUGAGUUUUGGGGGAGGUUGGCUGGGAGCCAGGAUGCCUGGGUUCUGUCCCCAGCCCGGGGAGGAGGGGUGCAUCUAGCAGGUUGAGUUGGGGGGGUCGGCUGGGAGCCAGGAUGCCUGGGUUCUGUCCCCAGCCCGGGGAGGAGGGGCGCAUCUAGCAGGUUGAGUUGGGGGGGUUGGCUGGGAGCCAGGAUGUCUGGGCUCUACCCUGGCCCCAGUGGGGAGUGUCAGGGGAGCCAGAGCUCAGUUUUUGCCAGGAAUGUCCUUUUCUGGCCUGUUUCUCCAGGCUGGCAAACCUGCAGCCUGGCCGCCCCUGAUCCGCUGCCCGUCUGU